UAUAUAUAGAUUGAUACCGAAGCGGCCGUUACGAAAAUAACGCCGUCAUUGUCGCGCGAUAGUGGAUAAUAAUAACACUAACAACAGUCACAUUAUUCGCGGGCGGUGAAAUAAUGUCGGUCGCAAAUGAUAAGACGAUUUUUUUUUCCUGCAAAUUUUUGAUUAUUUUUACUCGAAAAUCGUAAUUCCGCGGACGGAUAGUAUUAUGGAUGAUGACCGUUUACGGCGGUCGACCGGACCACGACGAGUGUGUGCGGUGAACGCGACGCGGCGCGCGUGCUACACGGUUAAGGCGGACG